UCUAAAAAAUUAAUUUUUAUUAUAUUGUAUUUCGUCUGCAAAGAUUUUUUUUAGUU
rnacentral:tRNA from 1 species